rnacentral:misc_RNA from 1 species
AUUAACAAAUCUACAACAAUUCCUGUGCAAACGUCGGUGCCGGCGGCGCAGCUGCCGGCCCACCAGUACACGUUCAUUGGUGGCGGUAGAGACACAAUGCAGACAACUUUUAACAAUGGAUCUCUUGGCUCUUGCAUC